rnacentral:rRNA from 1 species
GAGUCAGUAGGUUGGUCGUGCCACCGGUACGUACUGGUCUCACUGAUUCCUCCUUCCUGAAGAACCGUAAUGCCAUUAAUUUGGUGUUGCGGGGAAACAGGACUGUUACUUUGAAAAAAUUAGAGUGUUUAAGGCAAGCUAACGCUUGAAUACAUUAGCAUGGAAUAAUGAAAUAGGACGAUCGAUCCUAUUUUGUUGGUUUCUAGGAUUGACGUA